UCUACAUUCUGGACACAGACCAUUCUGUAACCUAGGCAUGUAGGCCAUUCUGUAACCUGAGCACAUAUGUCAUUCUGUAAGGGAGCUACCACUAAGAGCACUGCAGUAAGCACUGUGAUCUGUACAAUGAAAACCGGAAUCUGCUUCAGACUCAUGGCACUCCAACAUGGUGACAGUGGGUUUCUCAAUGAAGAGGAUAUGAAGUUUGCUUAGGAACACAGGAGUAACCAGCUGUGUCAUGGACAGAGACCUUCAAUAGACCAGGGUUCAUCACAGUAUCCUUGCUGACAUCCCUUGCAUCUUGGAAUCCAGAAGCCUCUUACUGCUUACGGAUCCUCUGUCUGAGCAGUCAGUCAUGCUGCCUCCCUCUCCCCAUAUGAAGAUAUACCAUAAAGGCACAAGCGGUCUAGCAUGGCUGCCCUCUGAGAAACCCAACAAGCAGCUGAAAGAGUCAGAUGCAGACACUAGCACCCAACCAAUGGAUAGAAGCCGGGAACCCCUGUGGUGGAAUUGGGGGAAAGCUGGAAGAAGGUGAAGAGGAGGGCAGCCCCAUAGGAAGACUAGCAGUCUCAACUGACUUGGACCCCUGAGAUCUCUCAGACACCAAGCCACCAACCAGGCAGCAUACACCAGCUAAUAUGAGGCUGCUGACACAUCUACAGCAGAGGACUGCCUGGUCUGGCCUCGUGAGAGAAGAUACAACUAACCCUCGAGAGACUUGAGGCCCCAGGGAGUGGGGAGACCUGGUGAAGUGCAGAGGUG
rnacentral:lncRNA from 1 species